UGGGGAAUAUUGCACAAUGGGGGAAACCCUGAUGCAGCGACGCCGCGUGAACGAAGAAGGUAUUCGUAUCGUAAAGUUCUGUCCUAUGGGAAGAUAAUGACAGUACCAUAGAAGAAAGCUCCGGCUAAAUACGUGCCAGCAGCCGCGGUAAUACGUAUGGAGCGAGCGUUGUCCGGUAUUAUUGGGCGUAAAGGGUACGCAGGCGGUUUAAUAAGUCGAAUGUUAAAGAUCGGGGCUCAACCCCGCAAAGCAUUGGAAACUGAUAAACUUGAGUAGUGGAGAGGAAAGUGGAAUUCCUAGUGUAGUGGUGAAAUACGUAGAUAUUAGGAGGAAUACCAGUAGCGAAGGUGACUUUCUGGACACAAACUGACGCUGAGGUACGAAAGCGUGGGGAGCAAACAGG
rnacentral:rRNA from 1 species